rnacentral:rRNA from 1 species
GACAGAGGGUGCGAACGUUGUUCGGAAUUACUGGGCGUAAAGCGCGUGUAGGCUGUUCGGAAAGUCGGGUGUGAAAGCCCUGGGCUCAACCUAGGAAGUGCACUCGAAACUCCCGAACUGGAGUCCCAGAGAGGAAGGUGGAAUUCUCGGUGUAGAGGUGAAAUUCGUAGAUAUCGAGAGGAACAUCGGUGGCGAAGGCGGCCUUCUGGACGGUGACUGACGCUGAGACGCGAAAGCGUGGGGAGCAAACAGG